rnacentral:rRNA from 1 species
UACAUGGGGUGCAAACGUUGCUCGGAAUUAUUGGGCGUAAAGCGCACGUAGGCGGUUCGUUAAGUCGGAUGUGAAAGCCCUCGGCUCAACUCCGGAAUUGCCUUUAAGACUGCAUCGCUAGAAUUGUGGAGAGGUAAGUGGAAUUCCGAGUGUAGAGGUGAAAUUCGUAGAUAUUCGGAAGAACACCAGUGGCGAAGGCGACUUACUGGACACAUAUUGACGCUGAGGUGCGAAAGCGUGGGGAGCAAACAGG